GGGCAGACACGCGUGCCCACACGCCGAGUGGGUUAGCGGACAGCUUGCGUCUUGGGUCUCCAGGGGCACACUGGAAGGUGCGCACGGGAGCGGACUCUGCCCUGUAAGGAGACACUGAUGCAAAGAAUGUCUGCCUCAGGAGCUGGAUUCGUGGGUCACUGAUGGCUCCUGUCCUUAUGUAUUUCGAGACCAGCUGUGACUCAGAUGGAGGUGUGCCACCAGCCGGGGCCCCGAGGAAGAGCCAGAGCUGGCCCAGAGGUGGACGGACCGGUGGUAAGCAGGAAUCCUUCUGGAUGUGAGGCGCCGAAACAGAUGCGUCAUACCCCGGCGUAGCUUAGCCUGAAGUGACCACUUCCAGGGUCCUCCCAUACAUUGUGAGUCUCAUUUUCCACAAAUGACAUUCGCAUCUCUCAAGUCCUAUGG